GGCUUCUUGGUGUAGUGGCAAUCACGUCUCGUUGACGUUUAACAACAAUUCCGAGGAAAGCUAGGUUCGAACCCUAGAGAGGCCA